rnacentral:rRNA from 1 species
UACGGAGGGUGCGAGCGUUGUCCGGAAUCACUGGGCGUAAAGGGCGCGUAGGCGGCUCAUGAAGGCUGUGGUGAAAGUCCGGGGCUCAACCUCGGAUCGGCCGUGGCGACUCGUGGGCUGGAGCACUGUAGAGGCGGGUGGAAUUCCGGGUGUAGCGGUGGAAUGCGUAGAGAUCCGGAAGAACACCAGUGGCGAAGGCGGGUCUCUGGGCAGUAACUGACGCUGAGGAGCGAAAGCGUGGGGAGCGAACAGG